GCGGGUGUGGCGGAACGGUAGACGCGGCGGACUCAAAAUCCGCUUCUGGCAACAGAGUGCCGGUUCGAAACCGGCCACCCGCACCA
rnacentral:tRNA from 3 species